rnacentral:rRNA from 1 species
AACGAACGCUGGCGGCAGGCCUAACACAUGCAAGUCGAACGAAGUCUUCGGACUGAGUGGCGGACGGGUGAGUAACACGUGGGAACCUAUCCUUUGGUGCGGAAUAACAGAGGGAAACUUCUGCUAAUACCGCAUACGCCCUAAGGGGGAAGAUUAUCGCCAAAGGAGGGGCCCGCGUAGGAUUAGCUAGUUGGUGGGGUAAUGGCCUACCAAGGCUGCGAUCCUUAGCUGGUCUGAGAGGAUGAUCAGCCACACUGGGACUGAGACACGGCCCAGACUCCUACGGGAGGCAGCAGUGGGGAAUAUUGGACAAUGGGGGCAACCUGAUCCAGCCAUGCCGCGUGAAUGAAGAA